rnacentral:siRNA from 1 species
UGGCAAGUUGUCCUUCGGCUACA